CUGAUCACUCCUAGCGUUUCCGGGCAUUCAGUGCUGGAUUUGAAGCGACAGCCUCUGCUUCAGAGACUCAGGCCCAAGCCAUUCUCCCACCUUCUCCUCCCUCCACUUCCCACCUCUUCCUCCACUUCAUCUCCUGCAUUUACAACUCUUGCUCUCUUCAAAUCAAAGACCAAAGCCGCUCCUUCAAAGAAGGUCCCAUCUCCAUUUCCUCAAUCAUUCUUUACUAUUAUUAUUAUGUCUCAAUCUCUGGGUUCAUUAUUAAUUUCUUGGUAUUUUCCCUGUAACAGGUUACGAAGCCGAAGCCACAGGUUGAAGAUGGAAUAUUUGGCACCUCUGGUGGCAUUGGCUUCACCAAAAAAAAUGAGCUGUUCGUGGGUCGUGUUGCCAUGCUCGGCUUUGCUGUGAGAAAAUUUUCCUUUUCCCAUCUAUUUUCAGCUUCUUAAUUCACUGCUUUUACAAGUAAUUUUGUGGUUAAUUAGCUUAGUAUUGAAAUCAGUAGAAUCUAAAUUGGAAGAAAUGAUAGACGUACUCCAGAUUUGAUUAUUUCACUAAACGACAUAGCUCCUUCUCGUAGCUUCUCUUGUAUGUACACGUGUCCGUGUAAAAGCCAUACAUAAAACAAUAAUCAUAGAAAGAAAUCAUAAAAAGUAAUUUGAAAAAUUCUAUUUUUUGUCC
rnacentral:lncRNA from 1 species